rnacentral:rRNA from 1 species
AUGAACGCUGGCGGCGUGCCUAAUACAUGCAAGUCGAGCGAACAGAUGAGGAGCUUGCUCCUCUGACGUUAGCGGCGGACGGGUGAGUAACACGUGGAUAACCUACCUAUAAGACUGGGAUAACUUCGGGAAACCGGAGCUAAUACCGGAUAAUAUAUUGAACCGCAUGGUUCAAUAGUGAAAGACGGUUUUGCUGUCACUUAUAGAUGGAUCCGCGCCGCAUUAGCUAGUUGGUAAGGUAACGGCUUACCAAGGCAACGAUGCGUAGCCGACCUGAGAGGGUGAUCGGCAACACUGGAACUGAGACACGGUACAGACUCCUACGGGAGGCAGCAGUAGGGAAUCUUACGCAAUGGGCGAAAGCCUGACGGAGCAACGCCGCGUGAGAGAUGAAGGUCUUCGGAUCGUAAAACUCUGUUAUUAGGGAAGAACAAAUGUGUAAGUAACUAUGCACGUCUUGACGGUACCUAAUCAGAAAGCCACGGCUAACUACGUG